UACGUAGGGUGCGGGCGUUAAUCGGAAUUACUGGGCGUAAAGCGUGCGCAGGCGGUUUUGCAAGCCGGAUGUGAAAUCCCCGGGCUUAACCUGGGAAUGGCAUUUGGGACUGCAAGGCUUGAGUGCGGCAGAGGAGACUGGAAUUCCUGGUGUAGCAGUGAAAUGCGUAGAUAUCAGGAGGAAUACCGAUGGCGAAGGCAGGUCUCUGGGCUGACACUGACGCUCAUGCACGAAAGCGUGGGGAGCAAACAGG
rnacentral:rRNA from 1 species